rnacentral:misc_RNA from 1 species
ACUUCUCAAUCAUUCUGGCUUGAAUUAGCUGGUCUGAAUUGGAUUGUGGAUGGUUGCAGGUUUUAUUCUGCUCGUCUGAAAUAAAUUAGCAUAAGUUUUUCCAACCACUUAUUAUUGGUAUGAUAAACUACUUAUACUGCCAUUGAUGUGGUUUGGCUUGAGCUUCAAACAGUUUGCCUAGCAAACAGUCAUAUGAAAC